rnacentral:tRNA from 1 species
GGGCCUAUAGCUCAGCGGUAGAGCAAUCGGCUCAUAACCGAUUGGUCCCUGGUUCGAUCCCAGGUGGGCCCACCA